ensembl:lncRNA
GUAACUUUCCGAGCGGCGUCGGAUUCUUUCACUAAAGGAGCGGGGCAGAGGGCCGAGCCGCGCGCUGAUUGGGCGGGGCGGGCGGCAGGUGCGCUGCCAUUGGAAGAGGCGCGCAGGUACGGCGCCGCCGAGAUCCAGCAGCCAGCAUCAGCGCUGUUUGGACUUGCCAGCACUGGGCAGAGGAAGUAGGGUGCACAAACAAGGUUCAGCUCAGCUUACUAAUUGCAUGACCCAGUUGAACAAACAAUUGGAUGGAUGGCUGCUCCUAGCUGAAGGGCUCUCACAGGGGAGCAGGAAUGGCACUCUGCAUUGGCUGCUGGGGCUUCUGCUCCCAGCCCUCAUCGUAAACCUGUAUGAGAGGGAGGCCAGACUGACAGCCUGCAGGCUCUGUGCCCUGGGGCAGAGACACAGGUUGGUAUCAGGAUGAAGUUGCUCAAGCUUUGGUGAAGUUGCUCAAGUUUUGACCCAGAUCCCAGCUGUCCAGGACAAUUCCUGACCUGUGGAGCUCUUGAAGGAGGAGCACAAGGCAGACAUGAGGAGGCCCUGACAACUGAGGGACUCAAUGCAGCACGCAGGUGAGGCUGACGCUGGGCUCAGAAGUGCCGUCAGAUGGUGUCACGCACGUGGGGAUGUGUGGUACCACGGCCCCGGUCGCAGAGAGCCUGCAGUCCGAGCCAGGAGCCUGCAAGAGGGCAGCACGGAAAAGCAGUGACACCUGUGCUGUUUUUAAUGGGAUUUGUAGCUGUGGGGUUUCGACAGAACCCACUUUUUCUUUCAGUGCAUUCUGACGUGGAAGAAUGUGAAAUGUAUUACCACAAGAGCAGGCUGCCUUGUGAGUGCUUCUGCGGAGCAAUGUCUUUUCUGCAGAGCUAGCCAUGGGGACUGAGCUUUAGCUGGGAGCAGCUUGGUCGGCGCCAUUUUCCCUCUGUGGCCUGUGCAGGAAGCUAACACCAGCCAACUUCGCACACUGUGGGACCGUAACAGGCCGCUGCCUGCGCCCGGGAGCGCAGACCCUCCUGCUGCACUCGGCAGAGCAAGUCUGAACUGGGUGCAUGGAGCAGGAAAUGCCAGUUCACAGCCCUCCCACGUGGCUCCAGGCUGCGUGCACAAUGACUUUUCCAGCCCCCCAGACUCUGUACACAUGAAUCCCUUCACCGUCCAGACGCCGUUUUGGGAUUGGCACAGCAUUCUGUGAUCUUGGAAGGCCGCUCAUGUGGUGUGGGAGCCAUCGCACACGCCUCUUGCAUUGGGUGCCUGCUGUGCUCCGCUGCAGGUAUUGACGUGUAGGAGAGCUCUGUCACAACAAACAGCCAAACGCUGCGCUUUUUUUCCAUCCAUGGAAGAUACCGUCAUACUUUCCAAUCAGUCUCAGUGAAAACCAUCAGCGGGGCUGCAAAAAGGUUAAAGGUUUGCAAGUUUAGGAUUUGGUGGGAAUAUGUGCUUGUUUGGACUUGGCCCAAGAGCCUCAUUUACCUGUUUGACAGGUAACAAUUAGCGAGCAAUAGCUCUGCUGGCUGGAAUGCGGCUGCGAGGGCCAGCGGGCGCUGGGUUAGCGGGUGGGCAGGUGUGGGUGCAGCGCCCAGAUAGGUAUGUGCAUGCACAGCAUUCCUGGGAAUCAGCUUUCCCCUAAAGAUGGAGCGAUGACUGCGGGGCACAAAAGGGCUGGGCUUAGCUCGGGCUCUGAGAGGUGAGCUGUUUGCAAGGUAAAGAAGUAAGGUAAACAGUGGGAGAGAAGGCGAGCUGACAAAGAGGCUGGGGACAGCUGCCUCUUUUUUUCAUGGUCCAGCAAUAGGAGAGCAAAGGAAGGGCUUGUAAGCUCACUUGGCACAGUGUAAAUGCGAAACGGGGAAACCAUUUGGCAGUCAGCUUAGAAACAGUUACGCUGCUGAUGUGCUCGUCCCUCAGCUCUGCCAUCAGCAGGAAUCCAAAUGCCAACGAGUUUAUCAAAUAAAACCAUUUCUUGACAAGCAGCCUCGAUUCCAGCUCCUGCUGACAGCCCCUCCAGUGUCCCUAGGGGGAACUGGUGGGAUAUGUGAUGCUGGCUGUCAGGGACAUGGCAGGUGUUACACAACGUUUGAUAUCUCGCCCUCACAACAGGUAACCCUUCUGUUGUAGGAACAGAAAGGUUUGCUGAUUCUUUUCAUAUUUUAUUCCCAUUUGUGAACAGGCUUUUGUGUUUGUGUAUUUCCACUCAGGUGUUUCAUACUUGACAAGCAAGUCAUUGUGAGACUGGAGAAGCCACAUCCUUCUUCCUGGUCUCUGUAGUUCCACCUGCAGAGUUAGAGUAGUGUGUUCCAUCUUCCUAACCAAAGGAGACACAGAUGAAAGGGGCCUAAGUCAUCAUGUCAGCUGUGUUCGUGAGAGAAAGAGAGUAAAAGGCACCCAGGCACCGAGGCAAGAAGUGAACAGUGCCAUUCCCUUCCCUGCAUCUCCCAAUCUGCCCCAGACUUCCUCAGCUGGAGCUUGGAUCCACGACUCUACAUUUCAAACCUCUGAGUAAGUCAACACAUUUUGCCAAGUUGUCUGAUCACCAAUUGAACUCCUCAUCCACAGCAUUACGGUUCUUGUUUGUCUGCUUAUAUGUCUGCAGGAUGUGACAGGUACCUAGAAAAAUCACUUUGUCCCAGUGGCAUCCCUUGUUAAUGUCAAAGGGAGCUGCAUGGAGAGGCUGAGCUGUGGUCGGCACUGAACUCUGUGCUCCUCUGGUGUCUGGAAACGGGAAAUGUACUUGUAGGGAGACCAGACUCAGGGGCAGCCUUGUGAAAGAGUAUUUCUUCACCCUUCACUUUUUUAGGAGUGUGAACACAAGGAAUUUAAUCUUUUCAUUUGGUUACUGCUGCUCUCUGCUAUAUCAGCACAGCCGCCAGAGCUGUUGUAAACAUUUGAAGAGUGGCGUCAAUUAAAGGUGACUCAGGAACAAAUGUGAUAUGAAGAAUUUGGAAAGGUUGGAAGAACAGCCAGUGUGCCAAAUGCUUUUCUAAAUGGACAACUAGAGGGAUGAAGAAGAGGAUGGUUUGGGAGUCACCCUUCCCACUUCAGCUGUGCGGUUAUGGUGACUACAUGUCCUAUUUGGAAGCACACACUGACUCGGAGGGUCAUCAUCCCACCAGUGCAUGAAGCUUGCAGUGAGUCAGCCCCUGUAUGUUACAAGGCAGGAUGGCUCCAGCUGCUAUUCAGCCUCUGUACAGUUUGACACUACUUCAGGGCGGAUAUGGGGACUCCAGAGAAUAUGGCAAGGGCUGUGUUGCUCACAGGUAACUGCCAGUAAGGAGCCCACCAGGUAAAGUGGAUCAGAGAUGGCAUCCAUAAUAGUCUCUCACCCCAGCAAAGCAUAUUCUAGAAGAGCGGUGUUGAAAAAGGACCAACUCAAAGAAAUUCACCACCACAGGUUAUUCCCAGGCAGCACUACCCUACGCGAGAAGUAACAAAACACAUGACCUUACUCUCUGUGAAGUGUUUGUGGAGCUUUUGUCACCAUAGCACCGAGUCACCAAAUACAGAAAGGUCCCUCCCGUGAUUCAUAACUGAACCCACAGUGGCUGCUGCUAUUUUCUGCAGUCCUUCUCACCCUGCCAGUGGAUGGCAGCUGAGUGGAGCAGUGCUGAGCACUCGCUGGCCUCUCUCUCUUCCCAGUGCCUUGCAAACAACUCCCAGUUCUCAGCAGCUUUUUGAGCUGUUCUGGGCACCUGAGGAGAGCAGGUGGUUCUGCGGUCAUUUCAUACAACCACAGGUCUGGUCAGAGUAAGGACACGAAGUGAUCUGCACUAUAGGACCUUGGGCAGAGUUGGCCAUCACCAGACUUCAGCUCUUUGUGAAGGAGUUUUCUGACAUAGUUAUCAGCCUGAGACUUACAGAUUAAGAAUUUUGUAGCCACUUCUGCUACGCGUGACAGUGACAAUAGAUAACAAUACAAUAUUUGUCCAAUCCAUUUUCAUAUUUUUGGACAUGAGCCGCGUUUUUUACCUUCCGAUGCUGGACUGCUCUGAGAUCCCAAUGUUAUUGGAGGUCUUUUCCAACCUUAAUGAUUCUGUGACUACAUUUUCCCACAUCACUAGUGAUAGGACAAGAAGGAAUGGCCUCAAGUUAUGCCAGGGGAGGUUCAGGUUGGAUAUUAGGAAAAAAUUCUUCUCUGAAAGAGUGGUCAGGCAUUGAAACGGGCUCCCGAGGGCGGUGGGGAAGUCACUGUCCUUGGAGUUGUUCAAGAAGCAUUUAGAUGUUGUACUAAGGGACGUUGCUUAGUGGAGAAAAUAUUGGUGGUAGGUGGACGGUUGGACUGGAUGAUCUUAGAGGUCUUUUCCAACCUUGGUGAUUCUGUGAUUACUGGAGGGGGAACAAGCUACCACGGACUGUAUCUGCAGGAGAAUCGCUUCCUAGAUGUAAUCUGAACCGUGAAUGGCAUUUCAUUUGGCAGAACUAGAUAUUUUGGGUGGGACGCGAAACUGGAGAAGUGGGAUGGCAGAAGUGGGUGUGUUAGUACAAAGUUGGUAGAGGUCUGGGAGCUCUUCAGCAGGAGGUGGUGGCUGGGCAGCGAGAUCUGCAGGCAUGGCAGUGAGAAACCCACCAAUGGACAGUGAAAAAAGGCACCUCCAGGCAGAGGAGGUGCAGAGGCUGCUGCAGAACGGGUGAUGGGACCUGUGGGCAUGGCCUCAUGGCGGCAGGCUCAUGGGGAUUGGGAAGGGCCCCCGAGGAGACUGAGAGCACAGGAAGUCAGCCUUAGGGGGAGUCCUGGGUCUGCACGGUGCAGAGAGCGGAGGAGGUAUUCCUCAAAGAAGUGACUACCAGGAAGCAAACAGAACAAUCUCAAUUAAAGGGCAGUAGUAGCACAGGACAAUACCAACCUUAACAUAUUCCAGGUGGUAAAGAAUAGAUGGCCUCCAACCAGGAGAGGAGCAAGUUACUGGAAGAGAUCCCUGGGAGGAGCAGUGGGAAUGGGAGUGUGGGUGCUUGAGAUGCAGCAUGGAGGGGAGGCCCUGCCGGCACUGCCUGGAGCACAGUGGGUACAUGAGCCCUCCAGGAGCACCUGCUUGAGCAGCUUCUGUUUUGGCAGCUCCCAGCUGUCAGAACCACCACUCUUUCAGGGCACUUGGGGAGUGUGACAGCAGGUCUUCCGCAGCAUCAGUUGUUUUAUUUCCGUGAAUAAGGUGAUUUAUGUAGGCCUAAUUAUGUACUAGCAACAGUAGUAGAAAACCUUGAGUACUGUGUUCAGUUUGGGGUGCCUCGCUACAAGAAGGACAACAAGGACCUGGAAUGUAUCCCGAGAAGGUCAGCAAAGCUGUAAGGGGUUUGGAGCACAAGUCUUAUGAGGAGCAACUGAGGGAACUGGGAUUGUUCAGAAGAGGAGGCUCAGGGAAGACCUUACUGUACUCUACAACUGCCAAAAGAAGGUUGUGGUGAAGGGGCGGUCAGCCUCUUCUCCAGAGUAACAGGGAUAGGAUGAGAGGUGAUGGCCUCACGUUGCGCUGGGGGAGGUUCACGUUGGAUAUUAGUAAACAGUUCUUCUCAGGAAAAGAGGUAGUGCAUUAGCACAGGCUGCCCAGGGAGGUGGUGGAGCCACCAUCCCUGGAGGUGUUCAAGGGAUGUGUACAUGUGGCACUGAGGGAUGUGGUCAGUGGGCAGUAUUGGUGAUAGGAGGACGGUUGGACUGGAUGAUCUUAGAGGUCUUUGGCAACCUGAAUGAUUCUAUAAUUCUAUGAUUCUAUGAAAAGAGAAACAGAAGAGAGAAGCUAUCUGUGUUUAACAAAACCAAUACACUGCCACCAGUGAUUAAAUGCUGACAUGCUGAACGUGUCUCACCCAAGGCUUGUAGGGACAAAGCAAACAGUGUGCUGUUUGUCUGCAGCCCAGCAAUCGAUGGCAAGCGUUUGUGGGAAAUAAACCAAUAAACCAG